rnacentral:rRNA from 1 species
CAGCCGCCGCGGUAAUACGAAGGUCCCGAGCGUUGUUCGGAAUCACUGGGCGUAAAGGGAGCGUAGGCGGCGUGGUAAGUCAGAUGUGAAAUCCCGGGGCUCAACCCCGGAACUGCAUCCGAUACUGCCAUGCUAGAGGAUUGGAGAGGUAGCUGGAAUUCUUGGUGUAGCAGUGAAAUGCGUGGAGAUCAAGAGGAACACUCGUGGCGAAAGCGAGCUACUGGACAAUAACUGACGCUGAGGCUCGAAGGCCAGGGUAGCGAAAGGGAUUAGAUACCCCAGUAGUCCAUGUCUCUUAUAC